rnacentral:rRNA from 1 species
CCUACGGGUGGCAGCAGUGAGGAAUAUUGGUCAAUGGACGAGAGUCUGAACCAGCCAAGUAGCGUGAAGGAUGACUGCCCUAUGGGUUGUAAACUUCUUUUAUAUGGGAAUAAAAUGUUCCACGUGUGGGCUUUUGUAUGUACCAUAUGAAUAAGGAUCGGCUAACUCCGUGCCAGCAGCCGCGGUAAUACGGAGGAUCCGAGCGUUAUCCGGAUUUAUUGGGUUUAAAGGGAGCGUAGGUGGAUUGUUAAGUCAGUUGUGAAAGUUUGCGGCUCAACCGUAAAAUUGCAGUUGAAACUGGCAGUCUUGAGUACAGUAGAGGUGGGCGGAAUUCGUGGUGUAGCGGUGAAAUGCUUAGAUAGCACGAAGAACUCCGAUUGCGAAGGCAGCUCACUGGACUGCAACUGACACUGAGGCUCGAAAGUGUGGGUAUCAAACAGGAUGAGAUACCCUUGUAGUC